rnacentral:ncRNA from 2 species
GAAGGUGGUGCAUGGCCGUUCUUAGUUGGUGGAGCGAUUUGUCUGGUUAAUUCCGAUAACGAACGAGACUCUAGCCCAUUAAAUAGGUGCGUGGUUCUCUGCACCUUGCACCCUUCUUAGAGGGACAAGCGGCUCCUAGCCGCACGAAACAGAGCAAUAACAGGUCUGUGAUGCCCU